AAGAGGGAGAGAAAAGCAACAUGCUGGGAUUCAACCAAAAUGCAUUUAGGAAAAAAUAAAGAAGCAAUUUGGAAACUAAAGUUGUUCGAGGUUUGGCUUCACAAAGGGUCAUUUCAGUGGCAAAGAGAAAGUUACCUUUCAGGACAGUGCUGGCCAGGUGGAAUUCUCCCCGCCAAGGGGCGGUGGAUGGCUCUCUGGUCACUGUGUUUGCUUUUGACACAAGAGCGGCUGGGCUGACCAGAGGUUAGAAGGCCCUGGCGCCCACCCCUGGAUCAUCAGAAUGGUUUCUUGUCCCGUCUCUGCCCAAGGAAGCAGCUUCAGGAAGCCGCCUCAUCCUCUGACCCCAAACCGUAGCUGUCUCCGCUGAGGUGCCUCUGGCCCUAGGUUCUCACUGGAGGAGGGGUCCGCCUCAUUUACACGCCGUCAUGGCACACGAAGACCCUCGUCAAUGGUCUUGGACCCCAAAGCCCCUCACCACCAGCACAUUCUGCUUCCUUCCCCACUCCUGCAGGCCAAGAUCACUUAACCUUUCUCUGCACUGAAGUUUCGAAGCCCAAUAACAUUGGAACCAUCAUCUAGAACGAGCCAAAGACCCAACUCUUGGUUAAAACACUUAGUUCUUCGGGCCCCAAUAUUUUCCCCACCCAAAUAUUAUUAUUUCUCCAACCAUGACCAUGACCUUCAUGUUUCAAAACAUUCUAAUUCACCGAAUACACUGCAUUUAUUAAGCAUCAGUUUAUCUUCCAGUUUUCGUCAUGAAAGUCAACUAUUAACCACUCACUGUGAUGUGUAAUCAGGCCAGCUGGAUACCAAAGCAUAAAUUCCAGCCAAAGUAGAGCAAAGUAUUGCUGUUUGGGUUUCCUUGAGCACCCUUAUCAAAGAUGAAUCAGUGCGCAUCUCUGCUGGGGGACCCCCGCCCCUCCAAGGAUGUCUGUGGACCCGAGGUGGAAACCCCUGCCUUCCAAGCUCCUCCAAUGAGAAAAGACAACAGACGUGUUUGGGUAAGAACGGUUUCAAGGAGCAGGAAUGAAGCGCCCUUGCAGCCUCUCUGUGUCAACGGAUUAAAACUCAAGUCCCAUCACGUGUUCACCAAUCCCCAGCCUUAUCCUUACUUCUGAAGAGCAACAACUUUUCUCCAAAAAGCAGACCAAGGGUUUGCGUUGAUACAAGACAUUCAAGAAUAUGAAGGGCAAGUGACACUUCUCUGAUGCUUUUCAAGGCUGGGAUGCUCUGCAGCUGUUUCACUGGCCGAUUCAUCACGGCACAACCACUACCCUGACUCAUAGGAGGACGGACAGGAUUUAAGCCGGAGGAGAACAGCAACCCUGAGUCCCAAGUUCACUAUCAGAGCUCAUGGACCUCCAUGUACUGCUCCUGGAUGGCGUGCUCACCACCACCCACCUCCCCCACCAGCUGGAAACUCCCUGAGGCCAGCAGCCAGCCUGCUUCACACCACACUACACCCAGCUCCCAAAACAUAGUAGCUGCUCAACAAAAUGUACUGAGUGAAGGAUGAUCAAAAUGCCCAACAAAUUCUGUCUUGGAAUUCUUUUGGGGAAAAAAAAAAAAUAGUCCCAGCAAAGCUUAAAGACAUCCAGGAAGGGAAUUCUGAACACACCAUUUGUAGCCAAACGCUAUAGGUGAAAUCUUUAUGAAGAUGCUGGGUUUGCAAACACCACUUGGGACCCAGCGGCCGUCUCUUGUCUGUCUUCCCGUCAAUGUGGCUAUUCAGGUUUGUCCUUCACUGAAAGCCAGAGCUGUCUCUGGAAUAAGCUGGGUUUUCUUCCACUGGCCUUUAGGAUUUUUAUACCUCAUAAUCGUGGCUUUAUUUAGCCAAAUAUAGUUGGGUAAAGCAGUCUAAAGCAUUUGAGGGCUCACUAUUUAAGAAAAUGGGUAGACGGUCCUCGCCCUCAGACACACACAUGAAAAGUGGAAUGCUUACCCAGAGGACGGGCUGUAUUUGAUCACAUCCUAAUUAAGAUCCCCUGUGUGGACCAGCACAGGCCUGGGGAAAUUCCGUGCCCAAGUUCGCGGCAAGGUUACCCCGUGCACCGGCCAGCUCCGGACCGGGGGUCUCAAGGCGCACAGCAUUGCUCCAUCAUUCUGCAGACUCCCGCCUGGUUCCAUAAGUGGGGAUGAAGCUCUCACCUCAUCCUCUCGUUUCCCUGGGAGGCAUGAGCAGCCCCAUUUUACAGACGGGAAAACUGAGGCUCAGAGAGGCUAUGUGACCUGCCCAAGCUCACACAGCUGAGAGUCAAAUAAAUCACCUUUCCCCAAAGUCCACGCCCUUCCUCGCCACACAGGGAAGGGCUGGAGGGAUGGAAUCUUCUCUUACGGUCUAUCCUUAUCCCUGUUCCAUCUCCAUUAGAGGUCAAGGCCUUGCCAGGAACCUCAAUAAAUGCUUAUUAAGUAGCUUACGCAGAUAAGCUGCUUUAGAAGAGACUUUCUGCACGGUUAGCUAAGAAAAUCGGGACGCCCACCAAGUGAAGUUGGGCAUUUUCCACCAAAAAUAAAGAAACAAGUCUAGGAGGCUUCAUUGGGUGGGUUAACCAGCAUCUAGGCUAUCUUUGUGUGCAUUUGUUCUUCGAAAAUGACCCUCUGUGGAUAUCAGGGGUAUAUUUGUUCAGACAACAUGCAGAACACACCUGCUACGUGGCCCUGGAGGCCCGGGAGUGAACCAGCCGUUGUAACUACAGGUGAAUCAAGUGCAAGGAGAGUCUGGGUGCAGUAAGAGCACGGAGGCAGGUGGGCUGCCUGUCUGUGGACUCAGGGAAGUCUCCCUGGAGGAGGUGUGACACCAGAGCUGUGUUUCCCGAGAAGAGAAGGGGUCUGCCAGGAUCCUGAGAUGGAUGGGGCCCCCAGGCUGGGAGAGGGCCCCCAGUACCUCCCAGGUGAGGAAGAACCCCACGCCAGGUGAUAAGCGCAGUCAUACCUCCCCACUCCCACCUCUCCAAGGAAGUAAUGAGCUGUGUUCAUAAGGCACUAAGGCUGCUGUCCUAGCAACUCACAUCCUCCGUGUUGCAUCCUCCCAGCAAAUCAUCUGCGGGAGAACGAUGUCAUCGCUCUUACAGAUGGGGAAACCGAGGCUCAAAGAAGGCAAGCGGUGUGCCUGAGCACACGCGUCCAGGAACGCAGAGACGCCCCGCUCUGCCUGCCCUGCACCCUGACAGCCUGCCUUGUGCGCACGCGGAGCCCCCUCCCAAUGCGAGAACCAACGGGGAUCCCCAGUGGGCAUCCCUCCCUCACGAUCCCCAAAUCAGCACUCAGGAUCUGAUGGGGGGAUUUGCCCCUCUGGGUGACUGGACAGCAGCCACAGGACCUGCCUGAAUGGGGAUUUGCGGCCUGAUAUGCCUGGAGUGUCAGCCUGCAUUCUUCUCAGCCCUCCUACGACCCUCAGGGGCUGACACAUCACCCCAUUUUCACACAGGAAGACUGAGGCUCAGAGAGAUGAAAUGCCCUGCCCAGGUGCUCACCGCUGGGACACGCCAUGUCCUCUGCCUCAAUAGCCGCCCGCUUGGGAAGCCUUCCCUGACCUGGCUGAUGGUGGAUACUCCUGCUCUUAAGCCCUGAGGCAUCCGUUACGUCCCCUGAAAGACGCGUGUCCCUCCUCGGGGCAGUGGUCCCGCUGGACCUCACGUUCCCGAGGGCAGGACGGUGACUGUCGGGUCCCCACAGGCAUCCCCACCCCCCCUAUCCCCUGGCAACGUCCUGGCACACGGCAGGCGCUCAAUACACUCGCACCAGACGCACCGACUCUCUCAUCUGAGCCCGAGAUACGUCACGGAAGGCUGGAGUUAUCAUACCCAUUUCGCUGAUGGGUAGAGUGAUCAGCUGGCUUGAGCGAACAGCCUCCAAUCAUGCAGAGCCAGAACCAGAAGCCUAAUGUCCAGACUUUGGGUUGGGCCUCCUGAGUUCCCCCUGGGGGCUCAGCCACCCGCAUAUAACUCAUGACCCAGGGGACCAGCACGGACUGGACUCUCAUAUCCUUGCUUCUCCCCCCGGCAAGAUCCCCACGCCCUCCCCGCAGUGCGCAGAAUCAGUAGCGAACAGCGGGCCUGGGAGGGUCUGGGAGCCCCACGCUUCACCCCGGAGCCCACGGGACUGAUCCUGCGUUUCCCCCCCAGUCCCACCUCUCCUGAAAGACCCCUCUCAGCCAUUACGAGACCUGUUAAUGGAGCCACGGGAAAAAAAACACACCUCAACCUCAAAAACACGGUCAGCCCCUUGGCGGGCUCUGCUCCUUCUGGGACGGAGCCGGAGGAAACAGUCCCAAAUGCGAGCAGCACUUGAGGCACGAAAAACGCACAUUAUUCACAGGAGCGGGGAACGUGGGAACAUUCUGAGCCGCAGGCAAUAAGCAAAUGCUGGCAUCGCCGGAAAACACGGCCUUUGAGAGCCUUUGAGAGCUCGGCUUGGCCUGAGCUGUUUCUGACGAGUAAGGGCCGGACGAGCUGCACACACGGCUGGGUGGCCUGCGGGGGACAAGGACCGGCAGGAGGGGCUCUGACAAGCCGCGGAGGCGGCCCCUGCCCGGCCUGCAGCUCGCCCGGACCAUUAAUCACGUGGCCGUUUUAAAUUC